UGUAACUCUCCAAUUAACGUAGGGUCUUACCUCCCCUGAAUUUCAUACUUCACUCUUCUAGUGGAAUCUUCAAGCCUCUUUGGCUCCUCACUGCCUCGGCUGCCUCCAGGAUGCAGAGUGAAGCUGUUGCUUAGCAACCGGGGUUCUGCUUAUAGAAACAGAAGCCUCAGCUCUGGCCAAGAGGAAAAUCACUGGUUGGAAUAAAAAAGUUUUAGCUUUGAACCAAGGAGCAGCUAAAAGCACAGCCCUAAAUGAGAUGCUGAGAUGUGGUAGCCCAUGUGUCCUCCCAGGGGAACUCCAGGUUCUCAGUGGGAGCAGGGGAUGGAUACAGAGCUAAGUGGAGGAUGGCUUCUGGGACCUUUGAAAGCCUUGUUCCCUGUGCUAACAGCUUGCUCUUCUGACCUGUUACGAAAAGAGAAACCACAGGUGCCACUGGCCCAGAGGGACAGACAGACAGACACCGGUAGACACCCUAGAGAUGAAAAUGGGACAGUUCCAGCUAGCAUAAAGGUCCGUGGAUGGGAAACUGUUUGCUGUAAGCCACUGAGUGGUGGGGACUGUUUGUCCAGCAUCUCCAUUGUGUCAUCUCCUGACUGAUACACUGUUCACCGCUCACUGCUGCCGUUUCCUUCCUCUCUGUAAGCUGUUUGAGUCUCGCUGCCCGCAACACAGAACACUAGCAGGUGAAGUCUCCUGCUCCAUCUCAUGAACAGAAGGACUCCUCCUUGUCUGAGUCUCCGAUCUCCACAGAUUCGUCCAGGCCUCCUUUUCCUGAGUGCUGCUUCAGUUGGGUAGCUGUUUCCUCCAACUUGAAGCACUCCCUCCUGGAGGGAGGAGGGAAGACCAGAAGACUCAGAGGGUAAAUAAAACUGAAGUCCCAGGAAGGAAACAAACCCAAUAGGGAA